UCAAGUUUGGGGUUGCAUAAGGGAAAUUGAAAGGCAAUUUAAAAAGCAUUGAGCUCAAAUGUUGUGAAAGAAAAAUACAUGAGAAAAAGAAAAGAAAAGAAGAAAAGCAUGAAGAUGGGCUCAAUGCAAAAAGAAAAGGGAAAAAGUUGGGAAUAAGUGAGAUUGGUGAGGAAGAAAGUUGUGCUUAAAUGUUGAAUACUAUGAUAGCUCUCUUAACUCAAGGACUUUGCUUUCCGAAAAACCAAUUCUACUUGUUAGCCCAGCCUCAUUACAAGCCUUGCAAAAGUCCUUUUG
rnacentral:lncRNA from 1 species